rnacentral:rRNA from 1 species
ACGGCUCAGUAACACGUGGAUAACCUGCCCUUGGGUUCGGCAUAACCCCGGGAAACUGGGGCUAAUUCCGGAUAACGCACAUAUGCUGGAAUGCUUUAUGCGUAAAAUGGGUUCGUCUGCCCAAGGAUGGGUCUGCGGCCUAUCAGGCAGUAGUGGGUGUAAUGUACCUACUAGCCUACAACGGGUACGGGUUGUGAGAGCAAGAGCCCGGAGAUGGAUUCUGAGACAUGAAUCCAGGCCCUACGGGGCGCAGCAGGCGCGAAAACUUUACAAUGCGGGAAACCGUGAUAAGGGGACACCGAGUGCUAGCAUCAUAUGCUGGCUGUCCAGGUGUGUAAAAUACACCUGUUAGCAAGGGCCGGGCAAGACCGGUGCCAGCCGCCGCGGUAACACCGGCGGCCCGAGUGGUGAUCGUGAUUAUUGGGUCUAAAGGGUCCGUAGCCGGUUUGGUCAGUCCUCCGGGAAAUCUGAUAGCUCAACUAUUAGGCUUUCGGGGGAUACUGCCAGGCUUGGAACCGGGAGAGGUAAGAGGUACUACAGGGGUAGGAGUGAAAUCUUGUAAUCCCUGUGGGACCACCUGUGGCGAAGGCGUCUUACCAGAACGGGUUCGACGGUGAGGGACGAAAGCUGGGGGCACGAACCGGAUUAGAUACCCGGGUAGUCCCAGCCGUAAACGAUGCUCGCUAGGUGUCAGGCAUGGCGCGACCGUGUCUGGUGCCGCAGGGAAGCCGUGAAGCGAGCCACCUGGGAAAGUACGGCCGCAAGGCUGAAACUUAAAGGAAUUGGCGGGGGAG